rnacentral:snoRNA from 1 species
GGCCAUUAGAGAAAUGCAAAUCAGUGUAUGAAAGCCGCAUAUGCAAUCUGAUUAUUUUGCAAGACUGAGGCUU